rnacentral:rRNA from 1 species
GUGGGGAAUAUUGGACAAUGGGCGAAAGCCUGAUCCAGCCAUGCCGCGUGUGUGAAGAAGGUCUUCGGAUUGUAAAGCACUUUAAGUUGGGAGGAAGGGCAGUAAGUUAAUACCUUGCUGUUUUGACGUUACCGACAGAAUAAGCACCGGCUAACUUCGUGCCAGCAGCCGCGGUAAUACGAAGGGUGCAAGCGUUUAUCGGAAUUACUGGGCGUAAAGCGCGCGUAGGUGGUUUUGUAAGUUGGAGGUGAAAUCCCCGGGCUCAACCUGGGAACUGCCUCCAAAACUGCAUGACUAGAGUACGGUAGAGGGUAGUGGAAUUUCCUGUGUAGCGGUGAAAUGCGUAGAUAUAGGAAGGAACACCAGUGGCGAAGGCGACUACCUGGACUGAUACUGACACUGAGGUGCGAAAGCGUGGGGAGCAAACAGGAUUAGAUACCCGUGUAGUCC